GCGCUCAUAGCUCAGUUGGUAGAGCAAGUGACUCUUAAUCACUGUGUCCUGGGUUCGAGUCCCCGUGAGCGCACCA
rnacentral:tRNA from 1 species